rnacentral:rRNA from 1 species
CCUACGGGCGGCAGCAGUGAGGAAUAUUGGUCAAUGGCCGAGAGGCUGAACCAGCCAAGUCGCGUGAGGGAAGACGGCCCUACGGGUUGUAAACCUCUUUUGUCGGGGAGUAAAGAGAUUCACGUGUGACUCAUUGAGAGUACCCGAAGAAAAAGCAUCGGCUAACUCCGUGCCAGCAGCCGCGGUAAUACGGAGGAUGCGAGCGUUAUCCGGAUUUAUUGGGUUUAAAGGGUGCGUAGGCGGAGGUGCAAGUCAGCGGUCAAAUUGCGGGGCUCAACCCCGUACUGCAGUUGAAACUGCAUGCCUUGAGUGCGCGAGAAGUAUGCGGAAUGCGUGGUGUAGCGGUGAAAUGCAUAGAUAUCACGCAGAACUCCGAUUGCGAAGGCAGCAUACCGGCGCGCAACUGACGCUCAUGCACGAAAGCGUGGGUAUCGAACAGGAUUAGAUACCCCUGUAGUC